AUUUUUGACAAUUCUAUGCACAGUAAAGUAGUUAUGAGGUGAAGAACCAGGCCAAGCUCUUCUAGGAAGAAAAAUGAAUAGAGAGCUUUCCCCACCUGAAGUCAAGGAGCUGUUACAGCACAGAGAGGAGAUAAUCUAGGAGGAUGUAAACAUCCAUGACCACUUUGGAAGAUAAAAAUGGAGGGCUUCCAGGAAAUGCAUGACUUUGCUGGACCACACACAGUGAACCACAGGUUGAAGAGCAAAGGAGCCAAGCAAUCAUGGACUAAAACCUCAGCAACUGUUGUCUCCCUGAUGUGCUACAGUGAUAGCAAAAUGACUACGACAGAAUAGUUGGAAGAGUGGAGGCUGCACCAUUUUUAUUUGCUGAUGAUGCUUCUUUGGGAUAAGGGUGAGCUCUAGAUUUUCAUCGUCCUUUAGAAGCAGUCCUGACCCACCAUGGAGACAGAAGUCCCUUAAAACCAGGCUGAGUGUGGGGACAUCAACUCCCAGUUCCCAAUGCUCUUUGCAGGGCUAGAGAGAUGGAGGUCGCUUUCCAGGUGAAGUUCUCCCCCUCCCAAACCAGAUUUCUCUGCCCUACCUUCAUGGCAGCUGAGCUUCAACAGGAUCCAACUGGAGCCCCUUGCUGAGGCAGGGGUUUAUCAAAGAAACCUUUAGCCACCAAUCGCUUUGUUUCUUCAAGACAGGCUUUCUCUGU
rnacentral:lncRNA from 1 species